rnacentral:lncRNA from 1 species
UUGGACCUACCUGUCAUUUAGCUCCGCCCCCUCUACGGUUGCUGAGGCAGGUACAGAAAAAAAAAGUUUUCCUUUAAAGUGUUGAGUCUCUAAUUUCUAAUUUGCGGUUCAAAUCUCACUUUGAACAUGCUGUUUUAGAGUGAUUUGUGCUGUCACCGCAUCAAAUCUGAAGCAGUUUAAUUGCAGAUUCCAAAUGCUGUAGUCGGUCCAGUUACAAUGAACAUCAAGCUUGUGGGGUCAUAUCCCAACCAAGGUCAGAAAUCAACCUGUGACAAAAAGCAAACACAACACGUCACUUUUGUGAACUUGCGUCAUUUCAUCAUGGAUCCUCCUCAUCAGCACAAAGGUCUUGAAGAAACUGAACACUGCACGUGAUGGGAUGUCAGGAUGCAGAACACGCAGCCUGUCACCAUGGUGACUGACAUGUUUCACCCCGCCCGUCUCACACAGACACAGCUGAGACUAUGGUCGCUGACCAGAAUCAAAGAGGAAACCGGGGCUGGCGGCUAAUGGAUCCACUGAAGAGAGUGGGACGAGUGAAGAGACGCGAACAGCAGGAAAGACUGACAGAAAAUGACCGGAUGAUUUAAAAAAAAAAAAAAAAAAAAAGGGGAGGGGAGGGGAAAGUAGGAGCUGUUUGUUUCAGAGCUGAAGAUGAAUGAUGGAUGUCAAUCACAUCAAGCUCUGUUCUUGGUUAUUUCUAUUUCUGUUCUUUGUUACUCUUCCCACUGCACAUUUACUUUAUUAAAAAUGUCCUUGCACCAUAACUACAUGUUACUUAUUUACACAAAGCAGCAUUUAUUAGUUUAGCCUAUCAAUAAAUAAAAAAACGCAU